CCGCGAAAACUUUACAAUGCUGGCAACAGCGAUAAGGGAACCUCGCGUGCCAGGUUACAAAUCUGGCUGUCGAGAUGCCUAAAAAGCAUUUCAUAGCAAGGGCCGGGCAAGACCGGUGCCAGCCGCCGCGGUAACACCUGCGGCUCGAGUGGUAACCGUUAUUAUUGGGUCUAAAGGGUCUGUAGCCGGCCGGAUAAGUCUCUUGAGAAAUCUGGCAGCUUAACUGUCAGGCUUUCAGGAGAUACUGUCUGGCUCGAGGCCGGGAGAGGUGAGAGGUACUUCAGGGGUAGGGGUGAAAUCUUGUAAUCCUUGAAGGACCACCAGUGGCGAAGGCGUCUCACCAGAACGGACCUGACGGCAAGGGACGAAAGCUAGGGGCACGAACCG
rnacentral:rRNA from 1 species